rnacentral:rRNA from 1 species
UCGGGAAUUUUGGGCAAUGGGCGAAAGCCUGACCCAGCAACGCCGCGUGAAGGGUGAAGUAUUUCGGUAUGUAAACUUCGAAAGAAUAGGAAGAAUAAAUGACGGUACUAUUUAUAAGGUCCGGCUAACUACGUGCCAGCAGCCGCGGUAAUACGUAGGGACCAAGCGUUGUUCGGAUUUACUGGGCGUAAAGGGCGCGUAGGCGGCAAUUCAAGUCAUCUGUGAAAUCUCCGGGCUUAACUCGGAACGGUCAGAUGAUACUGCUUUGCUAGAGUGCAGAAGGGGCAAUCGGAAUUCUUGGUGUAGCGGUGAAAUGCGUAGAUAUCAAGAGGAACACCUGAGGUGAAGACGGGUUGCUGGGCUGACACUGACGCUGAGGCGCGAAAGCCAGGGGAGCAAACGGGAUUAGAUACCCGCGUAGUCCCUGAGCGGGCUGGCAAGGCGCAU